CCUACGGGGGGCAGCAGUGGGGAAUUUUCCGCAAUGGGCGAAAGCCUGACGGAGCAAUACCGCGUGAGGGAAGACUGCCUAUGGGUUGUAAACCUCUUUUUUCAGGGAGGAAUCAAUGACGUGUACCUGAAGAAUAAGCAUCGGCUAACUCCGUGCCAGCAGCCGCGGUAAGACGGAGGAUGCAAGUGUUAUCCGGAAUCACUGGGCGUAAAGCGUCUGUAGGUGGUUUAAUAAGUCAACUGUUAAAUCUUGAGGCUCAACUUCAAAAUCGCAGUCGAAACUAUUAGACUAGAGUAUAGUAGAGGUAAAGGGAAUUUCCAGUGGAGCGGUGAAAUGCGUAGAUAUUGGAAAGAACACCGAUGGCGAAAGCACUUUACUGGGCUAUUACUAACACUCAGAGACGAAAGCUAGGGUAGCAAAUGGGAUUAGAUACCCCGGUAGUC
rnacentral:rRNA from 1 species